AACUCGCAAGUCUACAAGCGACAGGAUGAACGGAAUGUCAGAAUUCCAACAUGAAGAAAUAAGGAAAGGAAAGCUGAUAAUAAGAAUAAAUGUCAGUAUCAUGAARAAAUGAAAUAGAAUAAAAAUAAAAUCAAAAAUGAAAAAGAUAAGAAAUGUGCCRUCUUGUAGUAUAAAAUUUCAACCAGUCAAAGUGCUUGUAAAGAUUUUUUUUCAGGAGCCAAUCAAAACGCUUGAUAGAACAGCCUUUACCAUGGUAUUCUCCCUGACAACUGCUAUUUURUUUUUUGGGCCGAGAGGGCCCAGGGAACAAGGUUGCCCCUCCCCUUUAAAAUACAAAACGGAAGUGCUUCAAAAUAAUUAAAAAAAGAGUUUUGGGCUUCCUGUGGUGUUUGACCACCACUUCUCUCGAAAAUACAAGACGGAAGUGCGUUGUAUUUUGUCACUUCUGGCUGAAGUUUGUCUUUUGGGUUGCCUUUGGUAUUCGUUCGUACAGUAUUCGGAGAAAACUAGUCAUAGUAGUCGGGAGUCAAGAUUUACAUGCAUGGUAUUCUCUCGUACAUUAUUCGGAGAAAACGAGACAUAGCAGUCGGGAUUUUUCAUACAUAGUCUCUUGCUUAUUGGUGUUGCUAACGGUAACCAGUAAACACAGACAGGUGACUGUCUGGAAAUGAUCACGUUCUUCCAACGUUCUUCCAACGUUGCUCGGGGCAGAACAGAAAUACUUAUAUCCUUUACAAGGUGGAAAUUCAAGUUUGAGCGCUUACGAUCRUCUUUSAGUAUUUCGAAGGUGAAAAUUCAAGUUUUGAGAGUUUCAUUCGUGUUACAGAUACCCCUGACACAUACCCAAGGCUUUUUCUUGCACUUUGGCUCUUGAAUUUAAGCACCACAGUGCCAUCCUCAAGCAAUUAUACCAGGUUCUUGUUGGAAAUUUCUGGACUGGCCAUGGUCAGUGCUUCUUGCAAGAGUUCUAAAGGUGUGCAUUCUCCCUGGCAUUGGUAGCAGCUGUCCGAGCCAUCUCCACGCUCUCCUUCUGUAGAGUAACUGUUGCCACAAUCUUGUUCCAAUGCAGCCACCUGUUCAGGGAUUCGAGAUCUUCUUUGGAAGAAGGGGUUUUUUUUCUGGGCAACCCUCUGCAGGGAAAUGUGGUGGCUGAUGUGGGUGCAUAAAUAUUGCUGGAUGUAUUAGGGCAGCUGCGUGAUUAGCCAUUUUGUUUGAAGAUAAUCGCCUGACUUCCUGAAACGAGUAAAUUGUAACCGUAAAUUAGUUUCUUUCCAUCCAAAUGACACGCAAAUGGAAACAAAAAUGCUUCAAGCUCUAAUGGCUGAAGACAGAUUAAAGUUUCAAAUUAUCAUCGUUA